GGGUCAGGAUGGGACGGCCUCCCAACGCUCCACCCCAGAGCCUUUCAGCAGCAAAACCAUCAGGCGCUGACGGUCCCAAGAUGAUGAAUUUCAGCCCCACAAAGGUCUUCAAGAGGCUGGGCCCUGUCUUGUUCUUACAUAUGUUAUCUCACUUUCAUAACAACCCUAGAGGUACUACGAAGAGGCCCAUUUUAUAGACAGGAGAACUGAGGCUUGGGGGGGUGCAUAACUUCCGGAAGGGCACAAAGCUAAAAAGUGGUAGGUGCGGAAUUUGAACCCAGGUCUUUGAGAUGCCCCAGUCCCUCCUCUCACAAGAAAGCACCUGAGCUUCCCACUUUCUGAUUGACGUGGCAGGGUUGGUUGGUUACAUCUGAAUCACCUGGGAGCUUUAAACUUCCUAUUGCUGGGCCCACCUGGGUGAUUCUGAUUAAGCCGUUUUAGAGCGUUUGGAGCCCCUGAAUCUCCUUGACUCCAUCCCACCCGGAAGAGCAGAUAUCCCGUAAGUGCCAAGUUUCUUCCGCUGUCUGCAGCUGACCAUGAUGUCUUCUAGCUGGCAGCCCACCCUCUCCCACAGACCCCCAGCCAAAUCCCCAAGUGUAUUUCAGAAUCUGUGCACAGCUCCUUUAAGAAUGAGAAGAAGACAGCAGAGGAGCAAGUGUGGCCAAAGGGCUGUUAGCUGGACCAUCUCCUUCUGCGGCAUCUGGUCUGAGCUCCCCUCCGCCUGUGGGACCCACCUCUCACUCUCUGAGGAUUCCCUGAAGUCAGACCCACCUUUAGGUUCUGCCCUUUUCCCUGAGCUUGUCCUUGGUCUUUGCUCUGUUGACUUGCGCCUCUUUGACCGCAGACACGUGCAGGCCUCUGCCCUGGCCCACCUCUCCUGCAGUCCUGAUCUGGACAACUGUUGGCUCCACUCUGUCCCCUGCUUCUGUCUGAGCCAGUGCUUGUUAACAGGUCUUUCGUGUGGCUCCUUCUUUCAUAUUUUAUGGCACUCCUUUCCUGAACUUGGCACCAAGUCCCUCUGGAACUGUCCUGGGAGAUAAUACAAUGUCACUGCUAAGGGCAACAACCGAUUGUCCCUCUUCCUCAAUGAUCUGCCAGUGUCCGUGAGCUGAACUCUCUCUCCGCUGGGAGAAGUCAAUGGAGGUCACUGCCCGAGAGAUUGAGGGUCAGUCUUUGUCUGCCUUCUUGACAGCUCCAAAAGUCUCAUGUUUCUGAUGAGAUCUGCUGAAGCUUUAUGGAGAGAAAAACCCAAGUGGUUCAAGCCGGCGUGCCUGGAUUCCCCUGGAAACAGCAGGAAGGCCCUUUCUGGGGGCUAUUUGUUAAAAUCGGUUACAGUGCAUUCCAGGAGAGAUGUUCCAAUGGCAGCCUUGCCGGAAUAGGAGCGAGAACAUGGAACGUGGAGUCAGUCAACCCAAGUUUCAAUGGGCAGAAGCAGCUCCUCACUUUCCAAACGAACAACCUUGUGCAAGUCAUCAAAACUCCCCGAGCCUUCGCUUCAUCAUCUAUAAAAUGAGGAUGAAAAGAAGACCUUUCUGACGGUGCUGGUUUGAAGAUCAAAUAAAAUAAUGAAUGUGAAAGU
ensembl:lncRNA